UACGUAGGCAGCGAGCGUUUGUUCGGAGUUACUGGGCGUAAAGGGUGCGUAGGCGGUUUCUAAGUUUGGUGUGAAAUCUCCCGCUUAACUGGGAGGGUGCGCCGAAGACUGGAAGGCUUGAGUAUGGGAGAGGUAAGCGGAAUUCCUGGUGUAGCGGUGAAAUGCGUAGAUAUCAGGAGGAACACCUGCGGUGUAGACGGCUUACUGGACCAUCACUGACGCUGAGGCACGAAAGCGUGGGUAGCAAACAGG
rnacentral:rRNA from 1 species